UUAUUAUGUGGACCUUUUAAAUUAAUUAUAACAUCAGCCUUAAGAGCCCAAAGCACUUCUAUCAUAAUUGUGUUGGUUUAUUUUUUUAUUUUUUGCUUCAAAGCCCUGCAACAGGACAAAUACACUAACACAUUUAUUAAUUAUCUUUAUUUUUGUUCUGCUAGCUUCAUCAUACCUCGGAAAGGAAUAAUUGCAGAAUUAGUGGGAGCGUCUAAUGAUGCAUUUAAUGAGAGAAUAAUCAGGACCUUGAACUGGGUCAUGUGGUCACCUCCACCUACUGGGAGGCAUCUCCAGCAGGCAAGUUGGAGAAGCUAUGAAGGCAUUGCCAGCUUUCAUUACAUCGGCUACAAUUCAUUCUGGAAUGGAGAAGGAACUCCCAGCUCCUGCUGCCUGAGCACCACAAUUGAGACCAUGUUUUCUUCUGCCUCUGUUAUAUAUUUUCAGUGCUGAAAGCAGCCACUCCAGUUUGCUUCUUUGAGAUAGCUUCUAAUAGUGUUUAUCUAAGAAUCAAGACACUCGGUCAAGAUUAGCCUUUGAGUGGUUGCCUGGCCUGGCUCUAACUAGGUAUUUUAGCAAUGUGCAGUCUGAACAUGCCGGGGGGGGGGUGGCGGGGGUCCUGUCUUUAUUCUCUAUAGUUCCACUACACCUUCAACAGAGCAUUAAAUUUGGCAGAAAUAUAAUCAAGAGUGACAACUCAGUGCUGACCACAGCCUCACUGGGUGGGACAUAUGGGAAACUGCAGGAUAUCAAGGUAGCCGGUAAACCACAGUGUAACUAAAGGAGUCCUUUCAAAGAUACAUUGAAGCAAAACAGAGCAAUCAACAGUUUAGGAACUGCUAAGAAUUUGAGUCAGGGACCUGGAUUCAUGUGUGACUUUGCUUCUAUCCCAUGUGGACCAUAGGCAGGGCAUUAAUGUCUCUGGGGUUUUGACUUCUUUAUGUGUGAAAGAAUGAGGCUGGAGUAGGAAACCUUGUUUAUUUAAUGCACAGGUCUUAUCACUGAACUACCUCUGGCUUGAGGACCCCCCUUUUCUUUUAACAUCAAGUUUUGCAACACAGUCCUGGAUGACUUUGAACACAUAAUUCUCUUGCCUCAAUCUCCCAAAUGAUGGCAUUAAAAAGUACGUAGACACAACAUACUUGUGUACACAUGUGCAUGCACACAUACAAGUAAAUAAACAUGUAACUUUAAAAUUAAAAAGAACA
rnacentral:lncRNA from 1 species